CUGACUCAGUCAGACCUGGAAACCCCGGCUCUGCACCCGACCGACCAUGUCACCUUCGGGAAGUCUUCCUGACCCUCGUUUCCCCUCUCUCAAAAUCAGAGAUGUAAACAAUUUCCCCAGAAACCUUCAGUAGUCUCUAAGUCUCUCUGGCCAGAAAUGGAUCACAUGACCAACCCUAGCCCAACCAGAGGCAAAAGAGUGGGGAUGACAUGAUGUGGUUGUUUCCAGGUGUAUCUGUAUAUUCUCAGCACCCUCUUCAUCAAGGGGCAAGUCCCUGUGAAUUUUAGCCAACCUUAAGAACUUGUUGAAAAGUAGGACUCAGCAGAAGUGAUACCAUGAGACUUCUAAGGCUAGGCCAUAAAAGGAGAUUCAGCUUCUACCUGGUUCACUGCAGCAUGUGUGCUGAAGCCCUGAGCAGCCGUCCCAGGCCUACCACCCUGAGGCCACCAUAUCGUGGGGAGGCCCAACUAGCCCUAUGUAGAGAUGCUCAAUGGAGAGGCCCUACAUGAAGACAGAGAGACUUCAAACCAGAUGUCGACUCUUUGGACACUUAUCAUUUCUUGGCUACUCAGCAACAGACCAGCCUUCACAUCAAAGAAGGUCAAAGAAGGGUGAAUUUCUACUCUCUCCUUCUCUCUCCUGACCCCUGGGAACCGUGGAGCGAGCAUGUGAUCUAGCCUCCACCAUUCCAAUGGGACAACAGAAACUAUCUACAGUGGUGAGAACAAUCAAGUCCUGGUCUGGAACCAACAGGGCAGGAGAGAGGGUGCCAGGAGGAAGCCAGGAGGCUUCCUAGGCUGACUGUGCUGUGGCUGGUCUGGCUCAGGUCUCACUUGGGUCCCGCCCCCUUUCCAAGUCUUGUUGUCUAAUACAUAUAGAUCCAGCCAGCCACACAGUGCCCUAUUUGGUUCCUGAUCAGCAUGAGCUAGCCAGAGCUGGUUUCUGCAGUUUGAAAUCCUCCCCUAGCCCCCUUCCCAAAGCAGCCAGCCCCUACUCCCUCUGCCUGACACAUCAUCGAAUUACCGUAUGGGACACUGUGGUGAAAGUUACCUGUUUUGAUGUCGUUACUUCUCUCCCAACUAGAAUGCAAGGAAGGAAUAUUUGGGGAACAAGAAAUCCCCCACCAAGUGAAUAUAAAAAUGAGGGAGAGUAAGGAGUCCUCCCAGUGGGCUUCCUGCCCACCCUCAAGUAUUUCCAUUCAGACCCAUGGCCAGGGCUCUCACACAAGGCAGCAGGUCUACCUGUGGCCCCAAUGGCAGAGCAACAACCACUGUGUGUGUGCCCAACACUGCACUGGGGGUUUCACAAAACUCCUCCCAUUUCAUCUUCACAAUUAACCUGUAAGGUCUACAUCCCCUCUAUACAGGGAGAUCAGUGAAUAGCUUGCCCACUAUCACAUGGCUUCUAAAGAAACAUCGGUCAGUUUGAGGACCUACACUGUUCCCUCAGUAGGGCUUGUCAGAAAUAAGGGGGCUUCUAGAAUUGCAGGCCCCAGAGUCACAAAGAAAGCCCCCCACCAGCCUUGGCUCAAAUAUCUGCAAUGACAGGGAACUCAGCCCAUGCCGUUGCUGAAAGUUGCCACCUGGCAGGUUUGGGAAAGUGAGGAAAGAGGCAGAUCCAGGAAAAAGAGCCCAACAGAAGGCUGGAAGACCUUGGGGUCACACCAGAUUGGAUCUGAGCUUUGAGAACAUCCCCAGGGGUGAGACAAAAGGCUGCCAGGGAGACCAGGAAGCCUUGGAGGCGGGGGCCGAGGACAGGCUGCAGUCACAGAUGCCGGGUCUGGGGCACCACUGGGAGAUGAUGGGGUGCUUGCUAGUCAAGGUCCAGGGUUUCUUCUGGCUCUCCUGGGCCCCCUAAAACUGCAUUUCGCAUGUGUCACAGAGGGAAUGCCACUUUGUGGCUGACACCUGGCUAUAGGCAGAUAAGAUCAGUGGGCAAGGUCACAGGUAAGCCUAUUGCCUGUUAGGCAGGGGCCCUAGUUCUGGGUUCUCCUGGUUCUGGCCUCUCUGGGACAAGGGUUCCAAUCGUGACUCACCCCCACCUUUGAGCUUGAUAGCUCCCCCUAUGAAUCAGAGACAGCUGCCGUGGGGGUUGCAUGAUCUACUGCCUGUGAAUGUUAGAGCCCUGCAGGUGACACUCUUCUAUAUGGUCCUUCUGUUGACUCUUACUGCCUCAAAGAAAGAAGGUCAACCAAGAAGUACUCAAGAGAAUAAAUAAUCCCAGUCGGCCUGAUAAUUGCCGUCACCAAUAUGUGGGCCAUAUUCAGUGGGAGCACCGGAGAAGGAGUCCUGCCUAAAGCUGCCUGGGGACAAUCUCUCUCUCAUAUCCUCCUCAUCCUGCCCAAGAUCUCCUGUCUCCUGUCUCCAGUGGGGUCUUAUGCAGAGCAAUCUCACUCUCCUCCAGCAUCUCCAUUGACCAACAAUAUCAACUUCAAGAAUCUGAAAAAAGAUUAGGCUGAGGACUGAACACGCAUAUUCAGCGAACAGAAAGGUCCCUCAGCUGCCAAAGAGAUGAGUACACCCAUGGAACAGACACUACUUCAUCUCUUGUCAAAGACCAGGAAACUGAGACUCAGGGUGGUUGGAUGAUUUGUCAAGGUCACACACUUACGAAGUGGUUUAGCACCCUUAUCUGCUAGGCUUCAAAGCCAGUGCUCUGAACCACAGAAGCCAGCAAGAGGAAGUCCGACUCAAGAUUCUAAGUGCUCAGUCACUCUAAUAGAGAAAGACACCCUUCCAAAGAGCAAGAGUAAAGCACAAUAUCCAAGAAUAAACUUCAAGCAAGAAGGCCAGGCCUAUGGCAAGGACAUGAUGCAGCUUUGUAUGGCACAACAAAGCAGGAGCACCGGGUGAAGGGUCUGUGGAUCGCAUUCCUGAGAUUGGAAGGUUGAUGCUCCUCACAUGGACCCAUUAAUUUGUUCUAAAGCCAAUAAAAAUUCCGUUAGUGCCUGGGAGAAGAUCUUGGCAAAUUGAUUGAAAUUAAUUUGGAAGAACAAAUGCUCAAGAGUAGCCAAGAAAAUGUUUUUAAAAAAUGAAGUAAGGAGAGGAGCUCACACUACUCAUUCAUUCUUUUUGUGGAUAUUUAUUGAGCACCUGUUAUAUACCAGGUGCUAAAGAUCUAGACACCAUCCUUGUCCUCAGGAAGUUUACAGUCUAAUGGAUAUGAAAUAUACCAUAGAAGUAGAACCAUGUAAAUGGUGUGGCUCUGGGGCAGAGGGAAUAGUGAGGGCCCAGACAGAGGCUCUUGAAGGUGGGGGAGCUUAGGAGAUAGUAAUCAUAAGGAUGUUUACUGAAUACUUUGUGUGUGCUGCAUGAUUACAUCCCCUAGUAAUCCUGUGACUCAGGAACCCUGAUGAUCCCUACUUUACACAUAAAGAAGCAUAAGCCCAGAGAUAUUAAUCUGCUCAAGGCCACAAGCCAAUGGUUGGUGGGGCAGAGCCUGAACCCACGUCUGUCCAACUCUUAAUGUCUCUGCUCAUAAUGUGAUAUGAUAGGACAUCCAGACAUCGCAGAUCAGUAAGGAAAAGGUGGCAUAGUCAAGCAAUUGUGUUGAGAUAGUUAUUUGAGAGAUUAUUAACCUGAUUUUUAAAACAAGUUUGAAAUGGAUUUAGAUAUUUAAAUACAAGACAAAUCCAUAAACGCAAUAGACAAAACGAAGG